UACGAAGGGGGGCUAGCGUUGUUCGGAAUUACUGGGCGUAAAGCGUGCGCAGGCGGCUUCUCAAGUCAGGGGUGAAAGCCCAGAGCUCAACUCUGGAAUUGCCUUUGAGACUGAGUGGCUUGAGUACGAGAGAGGUGAGUGGAAUUCCCAGUGUAGAGGUGAAAUUCGUAGAUAUUGGGAAGAACACCGGUGGCGAAGGCAGCUUGCUGGGCCACUCCUGACACUGAGGUACGAAAGCGUGGGGAGCGAACAGG
rnacentral:rRNA from 1 species